rnacentral:rRNA from 1 species
AUGAUGCUCGACAAGGGCUCCCUGGACCUGGUGCUGGUGCCGUGCGGCCUGCUCAUCAUGUUCGGCUACCACCUCAUCCUCCUCUACCGGAUCCUCCGGCAUCCGGCCGUCACCGUCAUCGGCUACGAGAAUCACAACAAGCUGGCGUGGGUUCGCCGCAUGGCCCAGGCGGCUCCGGAGGAGACCGGGCUGGCGCUGAGCGUGAUCUCCAGCAGUAUCGCAGCGUCCACGAACCUGGCCUCGCUGUCCAUCGCGCUGGGCUCGCUCAUCGGCGCCUGGGUCAGCAGCACAAGCAAGGUGUUCAUGACGGAGCUCGUCUACGGCGACAACAGCCAGGCGACGGCGGCGGUCAAGUACAUCUCCCUCCUCGUCUGCUUUCUGGUGUCCUUCACUUGCUUCAUCCACUCCGCAAGGUACUACGUCCAAGCCAGCUUCCUGGUGACCACGCUGGACUCGGACGUCCCGGCGAGCUACAUGCAGCAUGCGGUGAUCCGGGGCGGCAACUUCUGGUCCAUGGGGCUCCGAGCACUCUACUUCGCAACGACGCUGCUGAUGUGGAUAUUCGGGCCAAUACCGAUGUUCGUCUGCUCAGUGUUCAUGGUGGUCAUCCUACACAUGCUGGACAGCAACUCCCUGCCACUGCACCAGUACCAGUUUACAGUCAGGAAACGGCCUGAUCAGGGGGCUCUGGCUUCUAUUCUAGCUACAAGCCAACCAAGUCCUCGAAAUGCGAUUAUCAACAACCCGAUAUUACCGCCUGUAACAUUCUUCAGUUGA